GUGGGGAAUCUUAGACAAUGGGCGCAAGCCUGAUCUAGCCAUGCCGCGUGAUCGAUGAAGGCCUUAGGGUUGUAAAGAUCUUUCAGUGGGGAAGAUAAUGACUGUACCCACAGAAGAAGCCCCGGCUAACUCCGUGCCAGCAGCCGCGGUAAUACGGAGGGGGCUAGCGUUGUUCGGAAUUACUGGGCGUAAAGCGCACGUAGGCGGAACAGAAAGUCAGAGGUGAAAUCCCAGGGCUCAACCUUGGAACUGCCUUUGAAACUCCUGUUCUUGAGUUCGAGAGAGGUGGGUGGAAUUCCGAGUGUAGAGGUGAAAUUCGUAGAUAUUCGGAGGAACACCAGUGGCGAAGGCGGCUCACUGGCUCGAUACUGACGCUGAGGUGCGAAAGCGUGGGGAGCAAACAGGAUUAGAAACCCGAGUAGUCC
rnacentral:rRNA from 1 species